GCCCGCCUAGCUCAAUCGGAUAGAGCGUCAGACUUUUAAGGCGGUUUGCUGUCGUUUCAAUCUGAAGGCUGCGAGUUCGACCCUCGCGGUGGGCU